UAAGGGCCUACCAAGACGAUGAUGUGUAGCUGGACUGAGAGGUUGAACAGCGACAUUGGGACUGAGACACGGCCCAAACUCCUACGGGAGGCAGCAGUAGGGAAUUUUCGGCAAUGGAGGAAACUCUGACCGAGCAACGCCGCGUGAAUGACGAAGUACUUCCGGUAUGUAAAGUUCUUUUAUCGAGGAAGAAAAGCAAAUGGGAACCCAUUUGUUUGCCGGUACUUAAUGAAUAAGCCCCGGCUAAUUAUGUGCCAGCAGCCGCGGUAAGACAUAAGGGGCAAGUGUUAUCCGGAAUUAUUGGGCGUAAAGGGUGCGUAGGCGGUCUAGUAAGUCAGUGGUGUAAUGGCAACGCUUAACGUUGUCCGGCUAUUGAAACUGCUAAACUUGAGUUAGAUAGAGGCGAGUGGAAUUCCAUGUGUAGCGGUAAAAUGCGUAAAUAUAUGGAGGAACACCAGAGGCGUAGGCGGCUCGCUGGGUCUUAACUGACGCUGAGGCACGAAAGCGUGGGGAGCAAACAGGAUUAGAUACCCUGGUAGUCCACGCCGUAAACGAUGAGUACUAAGUGUCGGGUUAAACCGGUACUGAAGUUAACACAUUAAGUACUCCGCCUGAGUAGUACGUACGCAAGUAUGAAACUUAAAGGAAUUGACGGGACUCCGCACAAGCGGUGGAUCAUGUUGUUUAAUUCGAAGAUACCCGAAAAACCUUACCAGGUCUUGACAUGUUUUUGCAAAAUGAUAGUAAUAUCGUGGAGGUUACCAGAAACACAGGUGGUGCAUGGUUGUCGUCAGCUCGUGUCGUGAGAUGUUAGGUUAAGUCCUAAAACGAGCGAAACCCUUAUCGUUAGUUGCCAGCACGUUAUGGUGGGGACUUUAACGAGACUGCCAAUGAUAAAUUGGAGGAAGGUGAGGAUCACGUCAAAUCAGCAUGCCCCUUAUGACCUGGGCUACAAACGUGAUACAAUGGCUGUUACAAAGGGUAGCUGAAACGAUA
rnacentral:rRNA from 1 species